rnacentral:rRNA from 1 species
AUACGGAGGAUGCGAGCGUUAUCCGGAUUUAUUGGGUUUAAAGGGAGCGUAGGUGGGAUAUUAAGUCAGCUGUGAAAGUUUGGGGCUCAACCUUAAAAUUGCAGUUGAUACUGGUUUCCUUGAGUACGGUACAGGUGGGCGGAAUUCGUGGUGUAGCGGUGAAAUGCUUAGAUAUCACGAAGAACUCCGAUCGCGAAGGUAGCUCACCGGGCCGGAACUGACACUGAUGCUCGAAAGUGCGGGUAUCAAACAGGAUUAGAUACCCUGGUAGUCCGCACAGUAAACGAUGAAUACUCGCUGUUUGCGAUACACGGUAAGCGGCCAAGCGAAAGCGUUAAGUAUUCCACCUGGGGAGUACGCCGGCAACGGUGAAACUCAAAGGAAUUGACGGGG